UACGUAGGCAGCGAGCGUUGUUCGGAGUUACUGGGCGUAAAGAGUGCGUAGGCGGUUUUGUAAGUCUGUCGUGAAAUCCCCGGGCUCAACCUGGGAAUUGCGAUGGAGACUGCAAGGCUGGAGUCUGGCAGAGGGGGGUAGAAUUCCACGUGUAGCAGUGAAAUGCGUAGAGAUGUGGAGGAACACCGAUGGCGAAGGCAGCCCCCUGGGUCAAGACUGACGCUCAUGCACGAAAGCGUGGGGAGCAAACAGG
rnacentral:rRNA from 1 species